rnacentral:rRNA from 1 species
CGGAGGGUGCGAGCGUUAAUCGGAAUUACUGGGCGUAAAGCGCGCGUAGGCGGUUUGUUAAGUCAGCUGUGAAAGCCCCGGGCUUAACCUGGGAACUGCAGUUGAUACUGGCCGACUAGAGUACGAGAGAGGGAGGUAGAAUUCCAUGUGUAGCGGUGAAAUGCGUAGAUAUAUGGAGGAAUACCGGUGGCGAAGGCGGCCUCCUGGCUCGAUACUGACGCUGAGGUGCGAAAGCGUGGGGAUCAAACAGGAUU